UUUUUCUUUUAGGAAAACGCAUAAAAGUUGAGCCAGCUUUUGCUGAGUUAGCCUUUUAGAUAAUGCUGCAUGACAGAAUUUCCAAAAAACGCGAUUAUGAAUGCAUUAAUAUUCAUGUUUAAUACUUUCCUAAUGGAAGCCAUAUUCAGCAUUGGUUAUGGAUAUGAACUUGCAUCCGGAAUCCAGUCAAUUGAUCAUGCAGGAUCCGAGGAAAGCUUAAGAACGGAUUGGGGUCACUGGGGAAGAAAAACAGGAUGGGAUGGCAAAACAGGAUAUAAAGAUUACCAUAAAGAUUACCAAAAAGAUUACCAUAAAGGUUACCACAAAGGAUGGAAGAAAGGCGGUUUUUAUGGUAAAGGUUGAGGUCAUGAUGAAGUCUUGAGAAUCUAUGAAAAACAGAGAAGCAAUAUUCAAAGUUUGGCAAUCAUGAAGUGUUAUUAAAUGAAAAUGUAUCGAAAUUUAUUUGGUUAUUAAAUUAAUUAAAGCAGUUAUUAAAAAAUUA